AGCUCUCUCAUGUGUGAGGGGUUUGAUCUCAGUGCUGAUGCAAGAGCUCUGAAGCCUUCAUCUCCAAUACUGCAGUUAUCCAGGCUGUAGAGAGAAUUUACAGUUGGGAUCCUCCAGAAGAGAAGAAAGAUGCUUCACUCCUGAGUCUCCUGCUUUACUCCCACUCAGCUGCAGCUCUCUCAUGUGUGAGGGGUUUGAUCUCAGUGCUGAUGCAAGAGCUCUGAAGCCUUCAUCUCCAAUACUGCAGUUAUCCAGGCUGUAGAGAGAAUGUAGCGAAGGGAGAGAGCAGUGACCCCACCCGGUCUUGAACACAGGUUUCCAAACUAAAGUUUACAGUUGGGAUCCUCCAGAAGAGAAGAAAGAUGCUUCACUCCUGAGUCUCCUGCUUUAUUCCCACUCAGCUGCAGCUCUCUCAUGUGUG